rnacentral:lncRNA from 1 species
ACUGGGGUCGAAGUAUUGAAGAGUGGGCCAGGUUCUCUGUUUUCCUCCAGGUCCAGGCGGCUGGGCAGGGCCAACGUAGGAAAUGAAGAACUGUGCACGGCGCACCCCAGGAAUUCAGCUUCCUCUCAAAAGCCAUGGUUGCGAGGUCGCGUGUUUAACCUCGCACUGGCUGCUGAGGGAAUUAACAGGCCUGCGCAGCAGCUUCGUUAGCUUCGAAAGAAAAUGGGCCCCGGCUCCCGCAGGAGGCCCGCCUGGCGCGCAGAUGUCGUUAUUAGAAUCCGGGACGUCGGUGGACCCUCUGGGUCUGGCUCCCUCGGGGCUUACGAUGAAAAAAACUGGGGGGCGCGUGUGUGUGUAUGUUGUGUUUUAUAUUAUGAGAAUUCUGAAACAUUUAGCAGAAGCAGUAUAUUACUCCCCAUAGUGCAGUUAGCUACCUUUUACCUGUUUCAUUGGCUCCACCAUACAUUUCUAGUGUUUUAAGGGAAACCGUUUCAUUCAUAAAUACCCUAAGUGUAUAUAUUUAAUAUCUAAGAGACAACUUUUAAAGGCAUAACGAUGUAAUCUCAUCUAAUGAAAUUAACAAUUCCUUAAUCUAAUUCCCAGUCCAUAUUUAGGUUUUUCAGAUGAUCUCAUGUCCUUUUACAAUUGGUUUGUGGCAUCCGGGUCCAAACCAAGGUCCACAUGUUGCAUCUGGACCACGUGUUUAAGCCUCUUACUUGAUAGCUUUAAAAUUAGCUAACACCAGAGGUUUAGAUGGUGUAAGGCAAGUCUGGCCACCAGGUGACUUGAUUUACAUUCGUUUUAGUUUCGCUCAGAAAGUAUGCUGUGCAUCUACCAAGUGCUAUGAUGUACAGAGGCCUGGUCCGGGGAGAGGAGUGUUACAAAAGUGCCUGCCUUCAACCCAUUUACGGUUUAUGGAGACAGAAAAGUAAGGUUUUCUGAUCCCUUGGAACCUGAACUGAUAGCAAAGACUUCAGCAUAAGCAUCUCACUCAGGAUAAUGUUUCUUCCUUGGCGUUCCCUUUGACCUAGUUGUGGAGGGCCUGAAUUCCAUGACAAGGACUCUGAAAUUUAGCUUGAAAACCCUAAGAGUAAUCAGUGAUAAGUCAUUAAUAGUCCUUAAACCCUUUUCCUCAAAUCCCAUCUGAAAUCCUGCUCCCUCUGUGAAGUCUUCCUUUACUGGGCACUGGUGAACACUGCUAUCUCAUUCGAGUUCCCACCACCCUUCGUUUGUACCUUUUGUGGUAGGAUCUCGAACUCUUUUGUUUUUUUUUUUUUUUUUUUUUUUUUACUUGAAACAGCGUCUCGUUAUGUCGCUCAGGCUGGAGUGCAGUGGCGCCAUCUCAGCUCGCUGCAACCUCCACCUCCCGGCUUCAAGUGAUUCUCCCACCUCAGCCUCUCGAGUAGCUGGGAUUACAGGCGCCCACCACCAUGCCCGGCUAAUUUUUGUAUUUUUAGUAGAGGUGGAGCUUCACCAUGUUGACCAGGCUGGUCUCGAACUCCUGAUCUCAAAUCAUCCACCCACCUUGGCCUCCCAAAGUGCUGGGAUUGCAGGCCUGAGCCACUGCCUCUGCCAACCGCCAUUGCCGUGUAAAUGCUGACGUCAUCCUCAUGCACGGCUGUAAAAUCCAAUUCUCUACUUUUCACAUUUUGAGAUGUUCGUAAGAGACGGUGUAAAGUUAUGGCGAGGUUAGACUGUGUAGGUUGGUAGUCUGACUCUGCCAUUUAGGAACAAUGUGACCUUCAGCAAGUUACUUAACUUUUCUGAGGUUUCCUCAGGUGUAAGAUGGGGCUUGUUAUUUUUUAUAUCAUUGGUUUAAAAGAGUUAUACAUUUCUAUUACUUAGGGCUGGGCGCAGUGGCCUGUAAUCCCAGAACUUUGGGAGGCUGAGGCGGGAUCACUCCUGCCUCAAGUCCUGAUCACUUGAGGUCAGGAGUUCGAGACCAGCCUGGUCAACAUGGCAAGACCCCGUCUCUAUUAAAAACACAAAAAUUAGCUGGGGGUGGUUGCGCACGCCUGUAGUCCCAGCUACUCGGGAGGCUGAGGUGGGAGAAUCCCUUGAGCCCAGGAGGUGGGGGUUGCAGUGAGCCAAGAUCACACCACUGCACUCCAGCCUGGGUGACAGAGUGAGACCCUGUCUCAAAAUAAUAAUAAAUAAUUAAAAUUUAAAAAAUUACUAAGAAGCUAAAAGAAAUUAAGUAUAAACUAUUGUUCUUGGCCCAUAUGCUUACGUUGUCUUUGCUCAUUUAAAUUUCUGGCUUUUCUACUGGGAUUCCCUGACUUCUUCCAUUACCUAUGGGGAAUGCCCCUCCGUCCCUUUUCAUGACCUCAUCUUCCCAAAUCUCCUUGCUUGUCAGUUAUCAUUUUCUCUCGUCUCAUUUCUCUGUUAGUUCCUGCUCCACGUAAGAAUAUGAACUGAAAAUCUGUCUUUGUUGCAACCUUCAUAUUAAUUUAUCUUAUUUGUUUCAUAUUGUUUUAUCUUAUUUUCCUUCUGCCCAUGAACAGUUUAAAAGGGCUGGAGUUUCCUAUUUGUUUCAGUUUUACUCAGUUUUUUUUUUUGCAAGAGGAAAAAAUUCUCUCUUGAUGCCAUUUUAGCUUCUGAUAUUGUAAUGAAGAGUAGCUGGGUAAAUUCCCUCUUUUGUUCUUGUUAUUUUAUUUUAGUUUUUUACCUGACUAGACCAGUAACCACAGUAACUAUUUUUGAAUUUCAUUUUCAUUUCUUUGCAAUAUUUUCUCCAUUUCUGGGUAUUAAUUGUAGUCAGCAUAAUUUGCUAAUUUUAUAGCUCGAGUUAUUUCAGAAGAACUUUGUGUGCUUAAACUGACACAGGGUCUCCUCCCAAGGAUCACAGACUGAGAUAAACCUGUGUCAGUGUGAGCACUGUAAUGUUCCAGCCACUAACUGUUUUGAGGUAGCAUAUUUAUUUUGGCUUCAUGUUUAGCCAAUGCUGUGAAGGGAAAAGGACCUUUAUCUCAUUUCAUGUCUCAGGCACUGUAAAAUGCUGAGUCACAGUACACCUGAGCGCUGCAGUGAUCUAAAGUUUGAGGCGGCAGUGAUUUCAGAUUUCUGCCAGGCUUAUAUUGGUGUUCAAUUCCUUUGCUUUGAUUUAGUAUGCUUGUGUAACUGUGAAGGGUUGGGAUGGAGAGGAGGUGGAUAUGGACUGGGACGGGGGGUAUAGGAACUGUAGUAUUUUUGAAGACCAUUGAUACUGUUCACAAGUAAUUGGGAACUGUGUAAUCCAUUACUUAGACAACUCCAGAUAUAUCAUUGAGGCAGUCAGAAAAUAGUUUUGCUUUCUGCUUUAACUAGGUUUGAAUGUAUAGAGUAAGUGAUGCAGGUUAAAAUAUUUUGGGGGGAUACAGAAGAAGGUACUGAUGGUUCUUGUUAUGAGGGUGUCAGGACCACAUAAUUUGAUGAUUGUUGGUACUCUGGAAAGAAAAAAUUGUGGGACUUGGAUCACUGAAUAAUCUCUGAAUUUCUUUCAGUGCUUAAAGUAGAUUAUUCAGUGAUGGGGCAGCACAGUUGUAUGUGGUAGGUAUUUCUAGCCCCACUGCUGGCCUUUCAAACCCAGUCGUGUCAAACCCUGCCUUAUUAAUUAGCAUUUUCCAAAGGUUCAGUUUGCUUAUAUAAUUGCAGUGGUAUAGUAAGCAGAGAAAUUGACCCAAUAAAUUUAGCCAUCUAACAAUUAGUGUGGGAAAAAUAGUGGAGAAGAUAUGUCUAUUGUGAUAAUAUGAGAUAUGAAUAUGAAUAUAUAUGUUUUCCACAUAUAUGUGUAUAUAUAUACACACACCUCAUUACCACUGUAAUAUAUAUAUAAUAUAUACAUAAUAUACAUAAAGGCCAGGCGUGGUGGCUUAUGCGCGUAAUCCCAGCACUUUGGGAGGCCAAGGUGGGUGGAUCACGAGGUCAGGAGAUCGAGACCAUCCUGGCUAACACGGUGAAACCCCGUCUCUACUAGAAAUACAAAAAAUUAGCCGGGCGUGGUGGUGGGCACCUGUAGUCCCAGCUACUUGGGAGGCUGGGGCAGGAGAAUGGCGUGAACCCGGGAGGCCAAGCUUGCAGUGAGCGGAGAUCGCACCACUGCACUCCAGCUUGGGCAACAGAGCGAGACUCCAUCUCAAAAAAAAAAUUCGAUUAGCCUGGACAACAUAGCAAGACCCGUCUCUACAAAAAUUUUUUAAAAUUAGCUGGGGCUGGGGAGUGGUGGCUCAUACCUGUAAUCCCAGCACUUCAAGAGGCCGAGGUGGUAGGAUAAUUUGAGACCAGCCUGGGCAACAUAGCGAGUUGUUUUUUUUUUUUUUUUUUGAGACGGAAUCUCACUCUGUCACCCAGGCUGGAGUGCAGUGGCACGAUCUUGGCUCACUGCAAUCUCUGCCUCCCAGGUUCAAGUGAUUAUCCUGCCUCAGCCUCCCGAGUAGCUGGAACUACAGGUGUUUGCCACCAUGCUGGGCAAAUUUUUUGUAUUUCUAGUAGAGAUGGGGUUUCACCAUGUUGGCCAGGCUGGUCUCGAACUCCUGACCUCAAGUGAUCUGCCUGCCUCGGCCUCCCAAAGUGCUAAGAUUACAGGUGUGAGCCACUAUGCCCGGCCCGCAAGAUCUUAUCUCUAAAAAAAAGAAGAAAGAAAAAAUUAGCUGGGUGUUGUGCACCUGUCAUCCUAGCUAUUUGAGAGGCUCAGGUGGGAGAAUCACUUGAGCCCGAGAGUUGAAAGUUACAGUGAACUAUGAUUGUGCCACUGCCCUCCAUCCUGGGUGACAGAGUGAGACCCUAUCUUUAAAAAAAUAUAUUUUUAAUUAUGAGAAGAGAAGGAAUUAUCUGACCUAUCUUGUCUGAUUGUAGGUCAUGAGACUUCCAUUUCUGAAGGGGUCCUGUUCCAUAUCCUCAAGAAGGGAGUGCUGCACAGAGAGGCCAUGAGGAAUCUAAGCAGACAGGCCUUGCUGGGUUUCCCCACUCAGUCUGUUAAUAUUAGAUCAUACCUUUUUGUCCAGUCACAUUUUUACAUGGUUGUCAAUUAUGCCUGUCCAGUAAAGUCUCCAUAAAAGGCCCAAGAAGACAGAGUUGGAGUUCCUGGAUAGCUGAACAUGUGGAGGUUCCUGGAGGGUGGGGCACCUGGGCAUAAAAGCUCUGAGCCCCUUCCCUCAUACCUUGCUCUGUGCAUCCCUCCAUCUGUAUCCUUUGUAACAUUCCUUAUAAUAAAUUGGUAAAUGU